rnacentral:misc_RNA from 1 species
GAUGAAGAACGCAGCGAAAUGCGAUACUUGGUGUGAAUUGCAGAAUCCCGUGAACCAUCGAGUCUUUGAACGCAAGUUGCGCCCGAAGCCAUUAGGCCGAGGGCACGCCUGCCUGGGCGUCACACGUCGUUGCCCCCCCCAUCUACUCCUUCGGGAUUGCGGGGGGUGGAUGAUGGCCUCCCGUGCGCCUCGCCGCGCGGUUGGCAUAAAUGCCAAGUCCUCGGCGACGCACGCCACGACAAUCGGUGGUUGCGAAACCUCGGUUGCCCGUCGUGUGCGGUCGUCGCGCAUCGAGGGCUCGAAAAAAUUGCCGAGUUCCGGCUCGGCUUUCAACGCGACCCCAGGUCAGGCGGGGUUACCCGCUGAAUUUAAGCAUAUCAAUAAGCGGAGGA